GAUGAACGCUGGCGGCGUGCCUAAUACAUGCAAGUCGAGCGAACAGACGAGGAUCUUGCUCCUCUGACGUUAGCGGCGGACGGGUGAGUAACACGUGGAUAACCUACCUAUAAGACUGGGAUAACUUCGGGAAACCGGAGCUAAUACCGGAUAAUAUAUUGAACCGCAUGGUUCGAUAGUGAAAGACGGUUUUGCUGUCACUUAUGGAUGGAUCCGCGCCGCAUUAGCUAGUUGGUAAGGUAACGGCUUACUCAGGCAACGAUGCGUAGCCGACCUGAGGGGGGGGUCGGCCACCCCAGUAGUGAGGCGAGGCCGAGAAGCCUACGGGAGGCAGCAGUAGGGAGUCGUACGCAAUGGGGGAAAGAAGGACGGAGCAACGCCGUGGGAGUGAUGAUGGUCUUCGGAGCGUAAAACUCUGUUAUUAGGGAAGAACAAAUGUGUAAGUAACGAGGCACGGCUUGACGGUACCUAGUCAGAAAGCGACGGCUAACUACGUG
rnacentral:rRNA from 1 species